GAUGAACGCUGGCGGCGUGCCUAAUACAUGCAAGUCGAGCGAACAGACGAGGAGCUUGCUCCUCUGACGUUAGCGGCGGACGGGUGAGUAACACGUGUAUAACCUACCUAUAAGACUGGGAUAACUUCGGGAAACCGGAGCUAAUACCGGAGAAUAUAUUGAACCACAUGGUUCGAUAGUAAAAGACGGUGUUGCGGGCAGUUAUAGAUGGAUCUGCGCCGCAUGAGCUAGUUGGUAAGGUAACGGCUUACCAAGGCGACGAUGCGUAGCCGACCUGAGAGGGUGAUCGGCCACACUGGAACUGAGACACGGUCCAGACUCCUAAGGGAGGCAGCAGUAGGGAAUCUUCCGCAAUGGGCGAAAGCCUGACGGAGCAACGCCGCGUGAGUGAUGAAGUUCUUCGGAUCGUAAAACUCUGUUAUUAGGGAAGAACAAAUGUGUAAGUAACUAUGCACGUCUUGACGGUACCUAAUCAGAAAGCCACGGCUAACUACGUG
rnacentral:rRNA from 1 species